CCGAAUUUGGGGACCUGGAUACCAGCAUCCUUGAGAAGGGUGUAACUGAUAUGUUCGUGAACAUUUAAAUUUCGCUUCUGUUGCUGCUGUGGCUGCCAACUUGCAGAGCCCAAAAUCUGUAAUUAUGUAAUUCUUUGGGCUGACACUAAAAAUACGGAUGUAGCCAAAAUGGUCAAGGUCAAAAACUUCCAUCGCAAUUUUCGGGCUAAAGUCAAAGGGCUCACCUUUGGUCCGUUUUUCAGGAGAACGCUUUCGGCCAAAAGGACGCUCCGCAACAUUGUAGCCAUUUCCAAUUAAUCACAAGAACUAGUUGAAGGUUGUUGAAACUGGGGCGGACUUUGCAAUUGACAAAUAUCUGGUGGAUUUUCGCUCGCUGGUUUGGUACUUGUCAUGGAAUGUCACUUGUCAAACAAAAAAUUUAAAUUUUUAUUCCAAAUAAAGCAAAAUUUGGGCCUAUUUAUUAACUAAUUGCUUGGAAUACAAGAAUAAUAUUUGAGGGUUCACACUCGACUGCGGUUCAUGUAGCGAUACGCAAAUUUUUAUUGCAUUUACACGUCGUUGCUCGAUUGUUCAAAGAUCAAAAAUGUACUCUCUGUGACCUUUGAUCAAGGAUCUGUUUUUUUACGUUCAACAUUUUUGGAUAAGUUUCAAUCACAAUUUCAAUUCAAACACUUUGAAUGUUGACUAACUAGACUCCCUCUGUUGUUGCUCGAAACUGGAUAAGGCGCGAAGUAUUUAUCUUUAAGUACUUAAGUGCAGACUACUUAAAGACCAUGGAGGAACUAGAACAUUUUGUAGAAAUGAUUUAUUAUGUGUUGAACAUAAAGAUAUUAUCUGCUAUGGACGUCCCUUUGCUUAAUUUACUCAUAAUUACUCAUAAUUAAGCUCAUCAUAAACGGUGACUUUAAAAUACAUCAUUUUAAUUCGAAUAGAGCAAACGAUAUAAUGUUCAAAAAACUAAUCCAGUCUUUUGGGUUUAAUGCUCAUAUCAAAGAAAAUACAAAAAGUAACAAUUGCCUCGAGAACAUUAUAACAAAUUUUAAUAAUACACUUUUUUUUAAGUUAUAGAUCCGACCCUAAUGUGACCAAAUAAAAUGUGAAUUUUAAUGUGUUUGUAAUUGUUAAUUUUAAUUUUGUCUUGAAGAAGCAUUUAAUAAAGCCGGCGAAACGUCGACGUAAUAA